AGGGUUUGAUCCUGGCUCAGAUUGAACGCUGGCGGCAGGCCUAACACAUGCAAGUCGAGCGGUAACAGAUCCAGCUUGCUGGAUGCUGACGAGCGGCGGACGGGUGAGUAAUGCAUAGGAAUCUGCCCGAUAGUGGGGGAUAACCUGGGGAAACCCAGGCUAAUACCGCAUACGUCCUACGGGAGAAAGGGGGCUCCGGCUCCCGCUAUGGGAUGAGCCUAUGUCGGAUUAGCUAGUUGGUGAGGUAACGGCUCACCAAGGCGACGAUCCGUAGCUGGUCUGAGAGGAUGAUCAGCCACAUCGGGACUGAGACACGGCCCGAACUCCUACGGGAGGCAGCAGUGGGGAAUAUUGGACAAUGGGCGAAAGCCUGAUCCAGCCAUGCCGCGUGUGUGAAGAAGGCCCUCGGGUUGUAAAGCACUUUCAGCGAGGAAGAACGCCCAGCGGUUAAUACCCGCUAGGAAAGACAUCACUCGCAGAAGAAGCACCGGCUAACUCCGUGCCAGCCGCCGCGGUAAUAC
rnacentral:rRNA from 1 species